rnacentral:rRNA from 1 species
UACAGAGGGUGCGAGCGUUAAUCGGAAUUACUGGGCGUAAAGGGUGCGUAGGUGGUUGAAUAAGUUAGGUGUGAAAGUCCUGGGCUUAACCUGGGGAUUGCGCCUAAUACUGUUUUACUAGAGUACUGUAGAGGAAGGUGGAAUUUCCGGUGUAGCGGUGAAAUGCGUAGAUAUCGGAAGGAACACCAGUGGCGAAGGCGACCUUCUGGACAGUUACUGACACUGAGGCACGAAAGCAUGGGUAGCAAACAGG